CCUACGGGUGGCAGCAGUGGGGAAUAUUGGACAAUGGGCGAAAGCCUGAUCCAGCCAUGCCGCGUGUGUGAAGAAGGCCUUCGGGUUGUAAAGCACUUUCAGUGGGGAAGAAAGCCUUGGGGCUAAUACCCUCGAGGAAGGACAUCACCCACAGAAGAAGCACCGGCUAACUCCGUGCCAGCAGCCGCGGUAAUACGGAGGGUGCGAGCGUUAAUCGGAAUUACUGGGCGUAAAGCGCGCGUAGGCGGUCUGAUAAGCCGGUUGUGAAAGCCCCGGGCUCAACCUGGGAACGGCGUCCGGAACUGUCAGGCUAGAGUGCAGGAGAGGAAGGUAGAAUUCCCGGUGUAGCGGUGAAAUGCGUAGAGAUCGGGAGGAAUACCAGUGGCGAAGGCGGCCUUCUGGACUGACACUGACGCUGAGGUGCGAAAGCGUGGGUAGCAAACAGGAUUAGAUACCCCUGUAGUC
rnacentral:rRNA from 1 species